AGCGAACGCUGGCGGCAGGCCUAACACAUGCAAGUCGAACGGAUCCUUCGGGAUUAGUGGCGGACGGGUGAGUAACACGUGGGAACGUGCCCUUUGGUUCGGAACAACUCAGGGAAACUUGAGCUAAUACCGGAUGUGCCCUUCGGGGGAAAGAUUUAUCGCCAUUGGAGCGGCCCGCGUCUGAUUAGCUAGUUGGUGAGGUAACGGCCCACCAAGGCGACGAUCAGUAGCUGGUCUGAGAGGAUGAUCAGCCACACUGGGACUGAGACACGGCCCAGACUCCUACGGGAGGCAGCAGGGGGGAAUGUUGAGCAAUGGGAGAAAGCCGGACGCAGUCAUGCCGGGGGAAUGAUGAAGGUUUGAGGAUUGUAAAAUUCUUUCAGCGGGGACGAUAAUGACGGUACCCGAAGAAGAAGCUCCGGCUAACUUCGUG
rnacentral:rRNA from 1 species